CAUUUCUCCUCAUUUUGUUCUUAGGAAGGGGAACAAUAGUGUUCUUGUUUUACAGAUGCAGGACCAGGGCACUUGGGGGAAAAAGGCCCCAUCCAAUAAUAUAGUUUGCUUUUGUUUAGUAACCUAAGCUCAAAGAUGCUCUUCCCUAAGCUACAGGAGACUGCUACCUUAUUAUGAAGGCAGCUAUUAAGUGCUUCCCAGAGCUUAGCUCCAGAACAUCUUGGUGCUAUGCUGCUGAUCUAGUCAACACCAGCCUAGAUUCAGAUGUUAUUCCAAAAGCUAAACAUUUCUUAACCCUCUUUGUAGCAGCUAACGACCUUAGCAUCUUGCCUGCUCCCUCAACUCAUUCAUCCUGCACAUCAUCUUUCUGCUCAGUGGCCUGCCUUCACAGCAGGAGGGAUGUUACCCUAUGCCAUUCUGAGCCCAGUCAUUUAGGCAGGAGGAAUCUGGGAGGGGAGUGAACUUGGAUCCCCCAUUUCAUGAGUUUCUGAACACUGGAAAAUGCUGCAAGCUCUAUGCAUCACUUAAAGAAGUGAAGUGCCUCUAGUUCAGAGCAAGUUAUGGGUCCUGAGUGAAUGGCAGAACCUCUCUGCAGGCCCUAGAGACAAGACGUAUGUAAGAUUGCUCCUGUGCUCAGCAUUCCCCACGGACCAGCUACAGGCAGCUGCAUGGAGAACAUGCAAAACUGAGGCCAUUUGCCAUGCUGGGCAUUAUGGAUCCCAUUCUGUCACCUCCUUUUUGCAUGCUCUCCCACAGAGUCCUGGAUUUAAGAGCCAUGGGUUCCCUUCUAGGGGUGUAAUUGUUGGCUUGCCUUUUGAUUUGAGCUUUGUCCCGAAGUAGGCUGGAUCUGGAAAAGGAAAGGCUCCAAGAACAAGCUCUGCCAGCUGCUACUUGUCUGUUAAACCUGAAAGAGGCUUCUCCUUCAAGGCAGUUGCUGCUCCUGAAGCCAAGCAUUUUCCUUCGCAUGGGAAAGCCGUAACUGCCUGCGAGAUAGCUUUGAUCUGAUUUUACAAGGAUAAAACUAAGUUUCCCUGUAUUCUUGCUCUGCCUCCAUUUAGCAGCGAGCCAUUCUCUUUUUUGCUCCCCACAUUUUUGGAGAGCUGGUUGCUGCUUAUUUAGGUUGGCACGGACUAAAUAUAACCCAGUGUGUGUGUGAAAGAGCACGCACCGGGUCACAGCACCAAGAGCGGCAGCAGCAAGAAGUGUCCUGCCUUUCCCUGAAGAGCAAGGGGGUUAUAGGCAAAAUCCAGCUAUUCAGAGGCAGCUCAAUGAAACACAUACAACCUGAACAAAAAGAUGUUUUCCCCUCCUCAGCUCCCCAGUUGAAAAAGACAGAAGAGAAACAUGAAUCAAUAUUUCCUCUAAGGUUCCCACUAUAGAGACACGCUUUUCUCCCAGCAGCUGCCAAGGGUGAAAACUAAAGGAAACAAAUAAUCAGAAAACAAU